rnacentral:rRNA from 1 species
GAUGAACGCUGGCGGCGUGCCUAAUACAUGCAAGUCGAGCGAACAGACGAGGAGCUUGCUCCUCUGACGUUAGCGGCGGACGGGUGAGUAACACGUGGAUAACCUACCUAUAAGACUGGGAUAACUUCGGGAAACCGGAGCUAAUACCGGAUAAUAUAUUGAACCGCAUGGUUCAAUAGUUAAAGACGGUUUUGCUGUCACUUAUAGAUGGAUCCGCGCCGCAUUAGCUAGUUGGUAAGGUAACGGCUUACCAAGGCAACGAUGCGUAGCCGACCUGAGAGGGUGAUCGGCCACACUGGAACUGAGACACGGUCCAGACUCCUACGGGGGGCAGCAGUAGGGAAUCUUCCGCAAUGGGCGAAAGCCUGAAGGAGCAACGCCGCGUGAGUGAUGAAGGUCUUCGGAUCGUAAAACUCUGUUAUUAGGGAAGAACAAAUGUGUAAGUAACUAUGCACGUCUUGACGGUACCUAAUCAGAAAGCCACGGCUAACUACGUG